UACGUAGGCAGCAAGCGUUGUUCGGAAUUACUGGGCGUAAAGAGUGUGUAGGCGGUGCUCUAAGUCUAUUGUGAAAUCUCCCGGCUUAACUGGGAGGGUGCGGCGGAGACUGGAGUGCUAGAGUGUGGGAGAGGUAAGCGGAAUUCCUGGUGUAGCGGUGAAAUGCGUAGAUAUCAGGAGGAACACCUGUGGUGUAGACAGCUUACUGGACCACGACUGACGCUGAGACACGAAAGCGUGGGUAGCAAACAGG
rnacentral:rRNA from 1 species